GGUGAUCAACCAGACGGAUCAGGUGAUAAACCAGACGGAAAAGGUGAUCACACAGACGGAUCAGAUGGUAAAACAGAUGAGGGACAAUUUGAACCAACUGAGGAAGACAUUAAGGAUUUCGAAGAGUGCAUGGGGGAAAAGCUUGAGGAUUUUAAAAAGG